AGCAGUAGCCGCGGUAAUACGUAGGUGGCAAGCGUUGUCCGGAAUUAUUGGGCGUAAAGGGCUCGCAGGCGGUUAGAUAAGUCUGAAGUUAAAGGCUGUGGCUUAACCAUAGUACGCUUUGGAAACUGUUUAACUUGAGUGCAAGAGGGGAGAGUGGAAUUCCAUGUGUAGCGGUGAAAUGCGUAGAUAUAUGGAGGAACACCGGUGGCGAAAGCGGCUCUCUGGCUUGUAACUGACGCUGAGGCUCGAAAGCGUGGGGAGCAAACAGGAUUAGAUACCCGGGUAGUCCCUGUCUCUUAUACA
rnacentral:rRNA from 1 species